rnacentral:tRNA from 1 species
GGGUGUUAGCUCAGUUGGUAGAGCAACUGACUCUUAAUCAGUGGGUCAUGGGUUCGAAUCCCUUACACCC